rnacentral:tRNA from 1 species
UUUAAUUACAACUAAUUGGCAGAAAAAUGCAUUAGAAUUAGAAUCUAAUUAAACUAUAAUUCCAUUUAUCCUAUCUUAUCUAAUUAUUACAAUUAGA